UAGUAUUACAGCUCUUAUAGAAUUUGUCUACCAGAGUUUCUGGUUUUUGCCAUGAAAGAAAUGUCAUU
ensembl:snRNA U7 U7 small nuclear RNA